rfam:Theileria orientalis strain Shintoku apicoplast DNA, partial genome.
ACAUAUGUAAUUUAAUUAAAAUAUUAACCUUCCAAGUUAAAAUUAAGGGUUAAAAUCCCUUUAUAUGUA